rnacentral:rRNA from 1 species
CAAUAGCGUAUAUUUAAGUUGUUGCAGUUAAAAGCUCGUAGUUGGAUUUCGGUUGAGAGCGGCCGGUCCGCCGUUUGGUGUGCACUGGCUGGUCUCAACUUCCUGCGGAGGACGCGCUCUGGGCUUAACGGUCUGGGACGUGGGCAGUCCGCGGUGGUUACUUUGAAAAUUAGAGUGUUCAAAGCGGGCUUACGCUUGAAUAUUUCAGCAUGGAAUAACACUAUAGGACUCCUGUCCUAUUUCGUUGGUCUCGGGACGGAGUAAUGAUUAAGAGGAACAGUUGGGGCGGAUUCGUAUUAACGCGUCAGAGGUGGAAUUCUUGGAUUGCGUUACGACGAACUACUGCGAAAGCAUUUGCCAAAGAUGUUUUCAUUGA